GGAGAAGUCUGGAGACGACGUUC
rnacentral:piRNA from 1 species